rnacentral:tRNA from 1 species
CGGGGCGUAGCGCAGUCUGGUAGCGCACCACAAUGGGGUUGUGGGGGUCGUGAGUUCAAAUCUCGCCGCCCCGAUCA